rnacentral:snRNA from 1 species
GGAUAUGAGGGCCAUCUGGCUGCGACAUCUGUCACCCCAUUGAUCGCCAGGGUUGAUUCGGCUGGUCUGACUGGCUAGGCAGCUGUCCCCUUCCUCCCUCACCGCUCCAUGUGCGUCCCUUGUCCCUCCCGAAGCUGCACGCUCCCCUAAUAGAGGAGGACCCGUCUUCAGUCAAGGGUAUACGAGUAGCUGCAAUCUCCUGCUAGAAGCUCCAAACAAGCUCUCAAAAGAAGAACAAAGAAAAACAGACACAUAAAUACAUAAUAUACAGUUAGGAGAAGAACAUAU